rnacentral:rRNA from 1 species
AGCGAACGCUGGCGGCAGGCCUAAUACAUGCAAGUCGAGCGGGCGUAGCAAUACGUCAGCGGCAGACGGGAGAGUAACACGUGGGAACGUGCACUUUGGUUCGGAAUAACUCAGGGAAACUUGAGCUAAUACCGGAUAAGCCCUUCGGGGGAAAGAGUUAUUGCCAUUGGAGCGGCCCGCGUCGGAUUAGCUAGGUGGUGAGGUAAUGGCUCACCAAGGCGACGAUCCGUAGCUGGUCUGAGAGGAUGACCAGCCUCACUGGGACUGAGACACGGCCCAGACUCCUACGGGAGGCAGCAGUGGGGAAUAUUGGACAAUGGGCGCAAGCCUGAUCCAGCCAUGCCGCGUGGAUGAUGAAGGCCCUAGGGUUGUAAAGUCCUUUUAACGGGGAAGAUAAUGACGGUACCCGUAGAAUAAGCCCCGGCUAACUUCGUGCCAGCAGCCGCGGUAA